ensembl:snoRNA small nucleolar RNA SNORA35
UUGCAUUGUGGUAUGUCUGUGAGAGCUCAACAUCCCGUGGGUAUAACUGUCAUACCAAUGCUAAAUGAACCCCCAUCUUGCAGAAGGGUGAUGUCUGUGACUGGCACACCCUUUCGAAAGUUGGGUACAUUG